rnacentral:rRNA from 1 species
GACGAACGCUGGCGGCGUGCUUAACACAUGCAAGUCGAACGGAAAGGCCCUGCUUUUGUGGGGUGCUCGAGUGGCGAACGGGUGAGUAACACGUGAGUAACCUGCCCUUGACUUUGGGAUAACUUCAGGAAACUGGGGCUAAUACCGGAUAGGAGCUCCUGCUGCAUGGUGGGGGUUGGAAAGUUUCGGCGGUUGGGGAUGGACUCGCGGCUUAUCAGCUUGUUGGUGGGGUAGUGGCUUACCAAGGCUUUGACGGGUAGCCGGCCUGAGAGGGUGACCGGCCACAUUGGGACUGAGAUACGGCCCAGACUCCUACGGGAGGCAGCAGUGGGGAAUAUUGCACAAUGGGCGGAAGCCUGAUGCAGCAACGCCGCGUGCGGGAUGACGGCCUUCGGGUGGUAAACCGCCUUCGCCUGUGACGAAGCGUGAGUGACGGUAAUGGGUAAAGAAGCACCGGCUAACUACGU